GACGAACGCUGGCGGCGUGCUUAACACAUGCAAGUCGAACGGUGAAGCGCCUUCCUUUUUGGUGGGUGUGGAUGAGUGGCGAACGGGUGAGUAACACGUGAGUAACCUGCCCCCUUCUUCUGGAUAACCGCAUGAAGGUGUGGCUAAUACGGGAUAUUCUGGGUCUGUGGCAUGAUGGGUCUGGGAAGGAUAUUGUUUCGGGGGGGGAUGGGCUCGCGGCGGAUCUGGUUGUUGGUGGGGUGAUGGCCUACCAAGGGGGUGACGUGUGGACGGCCUGGGCGGGUAGCCGGCCUGAGAGGGACUGAGACACGGCUCAGACUCAGACGGGAGGCAGAAGUGGAGAGUAGGGAACAAUGGGCGAAAGUGUGAUGCAGCGAGGCGGCGGGUGCGACGGAGGCGUGCGCGGGGUGACCGUCUUUGGGUAGUGAAGCAGGCCCGCCUGUGAUGUGGGGGGGUUGACGGUAGCUGGAUAAGAAGCGCCGGCUAACUACGUG
rnacentral:rRNA from 1 species